CAUGGCAGGCGCGGGUGUCCGUGCCAGCAAUCUGGAAAUCUUUAUCAACGCCGGGGUUGAGGAGCUUCACAGCUCUGCAGGCAAAUGGACGCCUUCACCCAUGCGUUAUCGCAAUACAGGAUUGUCAAUGUCGACGGAUGCCGAAGCGGAUGAGUAUUCCCGCUAUGGCGUAGAGGGAGAGUCGGUUGCGGUAAUGAAAUCGAUAAUUGAGCGUCAUCACGUGUAGCAACGUACCGAUUUUUACCGCGCAUCAUCUUGCCCAAUAUGAUGCUUGCUUGUACCAGGCCCCUGCAAUUUCAACAGGGGCCUUUUUUU
rnacentral:ncRNA from 1 species